AAAAUCCGUCGACUUUAAAAAUCGUGAGGGUUCAAGUCCCUCUACCCCCA
rnacentral:tRNA from 1 species